AUUGAACGCUGGCGGCAGGCCUAACACAUGCAAGUCGAGCGGAGUGUCGGCCGGGUGAGUACUGCCUAGGCAUCUGCCUGGUGGUGGGGGAUAGCGUCCGGAAACGGGCGCUAAUACCGCAUACUAUCAGAUGAGCCUAGAUCGGUUUAGCUAGUUGGUGGGGUAAAGGCCUUACAGGGCUACGAUCCGUAACUGGUCCGAGAGGAUGAUCAGUCACACUGGAACUGAGACACGGUCCAGACUCCUACGGGAGGACGCAGUGGGGAAUAUUGGACAAGGGGCGAAAGCUUGAUGCAGCCAUGCCGGUGGUGUGAAAAAGGUCUGCGGAUUGUAAAGCACUUUAAGUUGGGAGGCGUUACCAGCAGAAUAAGCACCGGCUAACUUCGUGCCAGCAGCCGCGGUAAUUC
rnacentral:rRNA from 1 species